CCUACGGGUGGCUGCAGUGAGGAAUAUUGGUCAAUGGUCGGGAGACUGAACCAGCCAAGUCGCGUGAGGGAUGAAGGUACAGAGUAUCGUAAACCUCUUUUGUCAGGGAACAAAGGCGGGGACGCGUCCCCGGAAGAGGGUAACUGGAGAAAAAGCAUCGGCUAACUCCGUGCCAGCCGCCGCGGUAAUACGGAGGAUGCGAGCGUUAUCCGGAUUUAUUGGGUUUAAAGGGUGCGGAGGCGGGCGGUUAAGUCCGGGGUCAAAGGCCGGGGCUCAACCCCGGCCCGCCGUUGAAACUGGCAGUCUCGAGUUGGAGAGAAGUAUGCGGAAUGCGCGGUGUAGCGGUGAAAUGCAUAGAUAUCGCGCAGAACUCCGAUUGCGAAGGCAGCAUGCCGGCGCCACACUGACGCUGAGGCACGAAAGCGUGGGUAUCGAACAGGAUUAGAUACCCGUGUAGUC
rnacentral:rRNA from 1 species